CUUCCCCCCGCUCCUCAUUCCCCUAACCCUAGCCCAUUCUCCACGUCGCCGCCACCUCCCGUCCCCUGGCGUCGCCACCAUGCCCACUCGCCGUCGCUCCUUCCCCUCCUCCCCGCCCUCUCGCUGCUCAGCAAGAGGAGCACGGCAUGCCGCUGGCCCUCAUGCACCGCCUCCCUCCUCCUCUCCUCCUCCGCGUCGGGGCCGGCUAGGGUUCGCGCUCUCUCUCUCUCCCUCAGGUCUCUCUCCCGCCGCCGCCACGCUCCCUCUCUCCGGCCUGAGCCUCCAACUCUACUAUGUCCUGACCAGGAUGAUUUCAUCAAAGAGUGGAGCGGGGAGCCGGAGAGCGAGCCUCUCCUUUUAGUGCCGCUGUCGAUGUCGCUGUCGAGGGUUCUCGCGCGCGUGGCGGGGGUUCAUUCUAAUUCGGCCCUGCUCUGCUCUGGCGGCCGGGUUUAAUUCGGCGGCGGCGGUGGCAUCAGGUGGCGCUGAAGUAGGAGGUAGAUUGUGGUGGCGUUCAGGGACUCGCUCAAGGUGCUCGAGGUUGACAUCCAGCAUGCGAACACCCUGUUUGGAGCGUGUGUUGUUCACCAUGUCGUGAAUUCAUCUCUGGCGGUCUGCCACAGGCCUUCCGAGUGCUCGAGGGACUACGACAGGGCGUGCCUGCAGAUGCGCAUGUCCUACAGCCCCGCCAUGCGCAUCUUCCUCUUCCUCAUGAAGUGGACCAACUGCAGCCUCGCCGGCACGGUCGGCCUCCUCAGGAUACUCUUGUCCAUCUGUUUAUGUGGACGGCACCACCACAAUGUCCACCCAUGACAGGAAGGCCAGCAUCAGGGAGAUAAACGCUUUGUACAUAACUGAAAACAAUAGCAUGUAUCAAAUUUUCUAUUUCCCUGGUUUUCAAUUUGUUUCAUGCUUCCAUCUCUUUAGCUCAGUACCAUUACUAUCUUGAAGAUGAGUUUUUCUUAUCCAAUGGAAGAUGGAUUUAAGAUAGAAAUGUGCAUUUAACCAUUUAUCGUGUUUCUUACUUGAAAUGUUAUGCAUAAUACUUUUCUCUUGUCGUAAGACUUUUUUUUACUUCUUGCCAAUUGGUUUGGUGUUUUGUAGUCAUGCAUCAUCUUUUGGUGUUUUGUUUGUUUGGUGAUGUGGGUGAGUUGAUUUCUACCUGAUUUGUUCCUUGCCAUCCUGAUCUGUGUAGCGUUAAGCAUUUGAAUGGAGCACAUAUAGGCAUGCCCCAGUUCAUUUUAGAGUCACUUGGUUGUUUGAUGCGUUCGUGCUCGUCGGCGGGACGGUGCAAGGCGCAACUCCGACGCGGUUCCUCGCCGGUUGGACGGCAUUCAGGCGCAACCCCGGCGCGCACUGAGUACUGCCUUGGCUAUAACCUCCCUCGAAAUUCAGUUCAUAUGAAAGAAAAGAAAGGCAUACAGUACCUGGCAUUGACAUUGGGAGCAUGGGCUACUGCUCGCACCUCUACCUACAGGUACUUUAAUUGUAAGUGCAUGCUUACAAAGUUCUAUCAUGCACAAUCAUCUAUGCACACCGGUCUAUCCAGAAGAUUAGGUCGCGGCCCUCUCUGCCUGGGCCGCCAGCUCCCCGGAGGGCCGCAUCCGGCCUGCCGCAAGUACACCUAAGCUGCCGCCUCCCCGGGGGCCGCAAUUGGAAGUGGAUGACCAAGGAGAAGGUGCACGGUGGGGGCCAGGCGCUUAAGUGGGAGGCGGAGCUCACCUCCCCCAACGAUGACGGCUUCGAUCUCAAGUGAAAGUGGGAGGCCAAGUCCAAGCCCGUCGCUGCCGGUAAGGCUAAAACCAAGUGGGGCACCGAGGAAGCCAGCAAGGAUGAGAAGAGGCCGGCGAGGAAGUGCGUCCAGAGCAAGGAGAUCCCCGCUGGCUGAGACGUCCAGAUCGAAGUACUUAGCAGAAAAGAUGAGAUUUUUGUGGGGGUUUGGCCCCGAUUUGAAUGAAAUGUAGGAUUUUCAGUACUCCAAUAGCAUACUCCAGUACUUCUUUUAACUAUAUCUGAUUAUAGAUAUUUUAUAUAGUAUCAUAUACUGUUAAGAAACAAUUUUGCUUUUUGCUUGACAUUGAUGUGGUGGUGUUUUGUCAUAUUUUUAUACCAUGUCUUCAGGAUUUUCAGUUCUUUUG
rnacentral:rRNA from 1 species